rnacentral:rRNA from 1 species
AGAGUUUGAUCCUGGCUCAGGAUGAACGCUAGCGAUAGGCUUAACACAUGCAAGUCGAGGGGCAGCACAUGAGUAGCAAUACGAUGGUGGCGACCGGCGCACGGGUGAGUAACACGUAUGCAACCUGCCCAUAACUGGGGAAUAACCCGUCGAAAGGCGGACUAAUACCGCAUAACAAUGAUUGUCUGCAUGGACGAUUAUUUAAAGAUUUAUCGGUUAUGGAUGGGCAUGCGUUCCAUUAGAUAGUUGGUAGGGUAACGACCUACCAAGUCUACGAUGGAUAGGGGUUCUGAGAGGAAGGUCCCCCACACUGGUACUGAGACACGGACCAGACUCCUACGGGAGGCAGCAGUGAGGAAUAUUGGUCAAUGGUCGAGAGACUGAACCAGCCAAAUCGCGUGAAGGAUGAAGGUAUUAUGUAUUGUAAACUUCUUUUGUCAGGGAAUAAAGUGCAUCACGUGUGAUGUUUUGUAUGUACCUGAAGAAUAAGGAUCGGCUAACUCCGUGCCAGCAGCCGCGGUAAUACGGAGGAUCCGAGCGUUAUCCGGAUUUAUUGGGUUUAAAGGGUGCGUAGGCGGACUAAUAAGUCAGCGGUGAAAGUUUGCGGCUCAACCGUAAAAUUGCCGUUGAUACUGUUGGUCUUGAGUGUAGAUGAGGUGGGUGGAAUUCGUAGUGUAGCGGUGAAAUGCUUAGAUAUUACGAAGAACUCCAAUUGCGUAGGCAGCUCACUGGGCUACAACUGACGCUGAGGCACGAAGGUGCGGGGAUCAAACAGGAUUAGAUACCCUGGUAGUCG